rnacentral:rRNA from 1 species
AGCAGCCGCGGUAAUUCCAGCUCCAAUAGCGUAUAUUAAAGUUGCUGCAGUUAAAAAGCUCGUAGUUGAAUUUCGGGACCAUCAUGUUGGUCGUGCCUCGGUACGUACUGGCAUUGUUGGUUUCUCCCUUCUGACGAACCAUGAUGUCAUUUAUUUGGUGUUGUGGGAAAUCAGGACUGUUACUUUGAAAAAUUAGAGUGUUUAAAGCAGGCUCACGCUUGAAUACAUUAGCAUGGAAUAAUGAAAUAGGACGUUUGAUUCUAUUUUGUUGGUUUCUAGGAUCGAUGUAAUGAUUAAUAGGGAUAGUUGGGGGCAUUAGUAUUCAAUUGUCAGAGGUGAAAUUCUUGGAUUUAUUGAAGACUAACUACUGCGAAAGCAUUUGCCAAGGAUGUUUUCAUUAAUCAAGGACGAAAGUUAGGGGAUCGAAGACGAUCAGAUACCGUCGUAGUC